AAGAGAGGCUCCUCCUUCAUGACAGUCUCCAAUUUCUACAGGGAGCAGCUGAACAAGCUGAUGACCACCCUCCAUAGCACCGCACCCCAUUUUGUCCGCUGUAUUAUCCCCAAUGAGUUUAAGCAAUCGGGUGUGAUAGACGCCCACCUGAUCAUGCACCAGCUAGCUUGCAAUGGUGUCCUGGAAGGCAUCCGUAUCUGCAGGAAGGGCUUCCCAAACAGGCUGCAGUACCCAGAGUUCAAACAGAGGUACCAAGUGCUGAACCCCAAUGUGAUUCCCCAGGGGUUCGUGGACAACAAAAAGGCCUCAGAGCUGCUGCUUGCAGCCAUUGACCUAGAUGUGAAUGAAUACAAAAUCGGACACACCAAGGUGUUCUUCCGUGCGGGCAUCCUGGCCAGGCUUGAGGACAUGAGGGAUGACCGUCUGGCUAAGAUCAUGACGAUGCUGCAGUGUCGGCUUCGG
rnacentral:sRNA from 1 species